AUACGGAGGAUCCGAGCGUUAUCCGGAUUUAUUGGGUUUAAAGGGUGCGCAGGCGGGAGAUUAAGUCGGCGGUGAAAUUUUGCAGCUCAACUGUAAAAGUGCCUUCGAAACUGGUUUCCUUGAGUGUAGAUGAAGUAGGCGGAAUUUGUGGUGCAGCGGUGAAAUGCAUAGAUAUCACGAGGAACUCCGAUUGCGCAGGCAGCUUACUAAACUACUACUGACGCUCAGGCACGAAGGCGUGGGGAUCAAACAGGAUUAGAUACCCUGGUAGUCCACGCAGUAAACGAUGAUUACUAGCUGUUUGCGAUACAAUGUAAGCGGCUGAGCGAAAGCGUUAAGUAAUCCACCUGGGGAGUACGUUCGCAAGAAUGAAACUCAAAUGAAUUGACGGGG
rnacentral:rRNA from 1 species